rnacentral:misc_RNA from 1 species
UGAAAUGCGAAAAGUAAUGCGAUUUGCAUGAAUCUGUGAGUCAUCAAGUCUUUGAACGCACCUGGCACUCUCUGGGUUAACUGGAGAGUACACCUGUUUGAGAAUCGUAUACACGCCUUGGCUCUAGUCAGAGUCAGACCUGAGGGCUCACGACGAAAGGCACUAACCUGCCGCCGUGUCCCUUUAAAUGUAGUCGGUUAGGGGUCUAGGCAUGUCGCGCUGUGACAUUGUGUGCUAGAGACAGUCAGUCUUCUCACGAUGCGUCCAGCGCGAGUAGUCCUUUACCACGCGCCGCCCCGUCUCCCCUUACCGGGAGACACCCCACUACCUACGUUCUCAUGAUCUCAAAUCAGGUGAGGUUACCCGCUGAACUUAA